rnacentral:rRNA from 1 species
GACAGAGGUGCCGAGCGUUAGUCGGAAUCACUGGGCUUAAAGCGUGUGUAGGCGGGCCGUUAAGUAUCUUGUGAAAUCCCCCGGCUCAACCGGGGAAUGGCUGGAUAUACUGGCGGUCUUGAGCGAUCUAGGGGCAGAUGGAACAAGUGGUGGAGCGGUGAAAUGCGUAGAUAUCACUUGGAACGCCAAAGGUGAAAACAGUCUGCUGGGGAUCUGCUGACGCUGAGACACGAAAGCCAGGGGAGCGAACGGG